CCGAUAAUUUUUUAAAUCUUUUUUUUUUUUUUUAAAGAUUUUUGUUCACUAUCUGGCAACUCUCGCGAGAGCGACGAGCGCGUCCUCUUUUUACUUUUGUCUGGAUGGAGCCCAACGCAGGAAGUUGAUUAUAUCACCGGAUUAACAAAACUCUAAUCUCGUUUGAGGGAUUUACGUGAGUCAACAAGUUUUUUUGUUUCGCUUGCCGCACUGUUACUUUUUUUUUUUUUUCCUUCUCCCCCUCCCCCAAACGACAAAGCUAUUCGAAAGGUUUUUUUUUUUUAAGCGUACACGAUGUGAUGACGACGACACGAGCGGAGCCCCAUCGGCGCGCAAAGCCAAACGAUCACUGAAAGGCGACUGAAUAAUUGAUUGCCCGGCGUGGGCGCGAUAAGGCGCGUAUCAUGUAACUUGGGCACAGUUAUGAAAUGAGGAGAGAGAUUAUGAUCCUGUAAUCCGGUUUGUCCCUGAGCUUCACCUGCCCGAAGCUUCACGUCAAUAGCUCAACAGGGGGAAAAACCGCCACCCUUGAUGCCGACAAGUGCGAACAGGCUGACGCGAGGUGGAGCGUCGGGAUUUUAUUCAAGUCGCCUCUCGGCUACUCGCUAGCUCUCGUUUUAGUUCCAUUCCAUUUCCUACACAGCGUAUCCAGUUCGGGGUCGCAGGGCACCGGAUUCUGACGAUGCGGACUACACCCUGAACUGGUCACCAGUCAGUCCCAGGCGACACUGAGCGAGAACUGAAGCUCCACCAAAGUCAGGCGAGUGUAUCACUACACCAUCGGCGACGUCCGUGUUUUAGUUCGACCCAAACCGAGCAAGUCAUCUUACACGCAAGACUAACAGAGCCCGAAGGACCUCGGAAGACAAUUGUUGACAAAAGGCAGUGAUUUCUGUUUCAAACGUACAAACCCGAAAACAAAAACACAUAAACUCGGCAACGCUGGAACAACAACCCUGUGGUUCUCCGUGACACUUCUGGGAGGUUGUGAUUCAGAUUCAGGCCAAAAACAACCGAGGAGCGAUGCCCCCUAGUGAGAGACACCUGAAACCGAAGAGCUCGUCCGGAUUUGAACCUUGGACCUCUCGCACUUGAAGUACACUUGAGGUAACUGUGCCCAGAACAAAAACAGCAUUCAGGCGUUAGAACACCCGAGUUUAACUGGACUACCAGCAACCCUGUUGUGCUCCGUGACUCCAUUUUCAUGAUCCCGAAAACCCAAAUACCCCAGCUAAGGCUUAACGCAGCCUAAUCCAGGAGUCGUACCCAGGACCUCUCCCACCCGUACAGAAAACCAAAGAAACGCCACACGAAGGCAAACAUUUCUAGUAUAAUUUGGCAAUGCCCCCAAAAAAUGACGGACGCACAUAACAGUGUGGUGACAUCACAAGAACGACUAUCAGCGCUAACGACAACCACGUUGUGCUCAACUCUCGAAGGGUUUUUUUUUUGGGGGGGGGGGGGAGCCGGAGAAGCCAAGACCCCUUAUGGGAAGUCAACUUGAAGUACGCACCCAAAGCGGGAAUCGUACCCCGCGACCAACGACCUCCGACCCUAACCCAAAAGGCAAAGAUCGAGCGUACAAACACGCAGAACUGAUUGCAUCAGAACCAGCAACAGUCCUCAGGUGCGUCAGGACCCAGAUGAAGCCCAGAUGACUGCGGAACAAAAAGAUUUCAUCGUCUCAUCGUAUUUACACCAUCAAUUUAUGAAGUAGUUUUGGAAUCAGAAAUCAAGGCUAAUGUGUCCCUUCUGUUAACACAAAAAUGCUUGUAAUAUCUCAACUUUAUUUUUUAUGAUAUAUGACAAUUUGAAAUUUUGGUACAGAUUUCUUACAAGAAUCAAGCAAAUUGACACACUAGAUUUGGCCACUCGGGCCACAUAAGAUCAUGUGGUGGGCCAGAUCUGGCCCCCGGACCUGGAGUUUGACACCUGCAACAUAGCCGGUUCGUCUGGGAUUUGAACCCGGGACCUCAAUCCUUCCGGGGAUGAUCGUCUUGGAAAAUUGAUCGGACGGUUCGGGUCACACCUCUUGACCAGCGGGCCACAGAAAGCAGAGACUUCUGACCGUUGAGCAGGUCAUGAAGUUUCAACUUUCGGACCCAGUGUUUUGAAGAACCGCAAAACGUGAAAUAUAUUCAGCAGUGCUACUAAAGUGAUCCUGAAACUGAAACGGGAAUAAAGUUCCUGCAGUCCUCACAAGGUCCAUGCUCUGAGGAUUCUGAUGAGUCACCAAAUACUGUAAAGGUCUACGAAAUGUCUUGCAGUACUGCCAAAGCCAAACAGUAAAAAUGGACUUCACGCUCACAAAUACUACAGUUUAUACAACAAUUACACUUCAUCAAAGCAGUUUAUUUUACUACGCUUUUACACGAUACAUUUUUCUUAAUCCAAAACACGAAAAAGGGUGUGGGUGUUUUUUUUUGGCGGUUGGGGUAAUUUGAUUUGAUAUACUCAUAAAUUGAGUAAUUGUCCUGGUCAUGGAUUGGAUUAAACUUGUAAAUCAAAAUAAUAUUGAAUAACCCAAAAAAUAUUUGCUAUUUUUGCAAUUCUGGAGAAUCAUGUUAAUAGUGUAGCAGAAUUCCAAACAAGAGGGAAUUACUGUCAUCUAAAAAAAAAAAAAAAAUUCAUUAUUUUUGCGAUGAAAUGAUUCAAUUGAGUUUUUUU